rnacentral:rRNA from 1 species
UACAUGGGGUGCAAACGUUGCUCGGAAUUAUUGGACGUAAAGCGCACGUAGGCGGUCCGUUAAGUCGGAUGUGAAAGCCCCCGGCUCAACCGGGGAAGUGCAUCCGAAACUGGCGGGCUAGAGUAUGAAAGAGGGUCGCGGAAUUCCCGGUGUAGAGGUGAAAUUCGUAGAUAUCGGGAGGAACACCGGUGGCGAAGGCGGCGACCUGGGUCGAUACUGACGCUGAGGUGCGAAAGCGUGGGGAGCAAACAGG